AAAACCUUCUCUCCAUCAAAUGGAAACCAUUAUUAUUGUGCCCAUAGUGGUUUUCGGGAUGGCCUUUGUUGUGUUCAUCUCCUGCUGCCUGAGUAAAAACAUGAGAAAAUUCCAUCAACAUAUGGUGCAAAGAAUGACAAUCAUGAUUGCACAACACCAUUCACAGGAGAGUCAGUAGUCACCUUACCCGGCUAUUAACCUUCACCCAGUUUAUGGAUUGCAACCCAUUCCAAUUGGACCUACCCUGGGACAACAAUGUGCCCCAGGACCAGCAUCCACAUAUCUGGAGGCUGCAGGUCAGUUUCCUGCUUCCUUCAGUCAGGCUGCACAUGAUGAAGAUCAGAUCAUGUACGCUCCACAAGCACCGCUUCAACCAGGGCUUCGCACAUACUACACCUUACCUCAACAGCUACACAACCCAGAUUACGUGGAUUCACCAAAGACCAGUUGAAAACCACCCACACAACCAAACCCACAAAAAAUGACCAGUUAUUAACACUGGAUUGUGGAGGGUUUUGCA